rnacentral:rRNA from 1 species
UUGAACGCUGGCGGCAUGCCUUACACAUGCAAGUCGAACGGCAGCACGGGUGCUUGCACCUGGUGGCGAGUGGCGAACGGGUGAGUAAUACAUCGGAACAUGUCCUGUAGUGGGGGAUAGCCCGGCGAAAGCCGGAUUAAUACCGCAUACGAUCUACGGAUGAAAGCGGGGGACCUUCGGGCCUCGCGCUAUAGGGUUGGCCGAUGGCUGAUUAGCUAGUUGGUGGGGUAAAGGCCUACCAAGGCGACGAUCAGUAGCUGGUCUGAGAGGACGACCAGCCACACUGGGACUGAGACACGGCCUAGACUCCUACGGGAGGCAGCAGUGGGGAAUUUUGGACAAUGGGCGAAAGCCUGAUCCAGCAAUGCCGCGUGUGUGAAGAAGGCCUUCGGGUUGUAAAGCACUUUUGUCCGGAAAGAAAUCCUUGGCUCUAAUACAGUCGGGGGAUGACGGUACCGGAAGAAUAAGCACCGGCUAACUACGUGCCAGCAGCCGCGGUAAUACGUAGGGUGCGAGCGUUAAUCGGAAUUACUGGGCGUAAAGCGUGCGCAGGCGGUUUGCUAAGACCGAUGUGAAAUCCCCGGGCUCAACCUGGGAACUGCAUUGGUGACUGGCAGGCUAGAGUAUGGCAGAGGGGGGUAGAAUUCCACGUGUAGCAGUGAAAUGCGUAGAGAUGUGGAGGAAUACCGAUGGCGAAGGCAGCCCCCUGGGCCAAUACUGACGCUCAUGCACGAAAGCGUGGGGAGCAAACAGGAUUAGAUACCCUGGUAGUCCACGCCCUAAACGAUGUCAACUAGUUGUUGGGGAUUCAUUUCCUUAGUAACGUAGCUAACGCGUGAAGUUGACCGCCUGGGGAGUACGGUCGCAAGAUUAAAACUCAAAGGAAUUGACGGGGACCCGCACAAGCGGUGGAUGAUGUGGAUUAAUUCGAUGCAACGCGAAAAACCUUACCUACCCUUGACAUGGUCGGAAUCCCGCUGAGAGGUGGGAGUGCUCGAAAGAGAACCGGCGCACAGGUGCUGCAUGGCUGUCGUCAGCUCGUGUCGUGAGAUGUUGGGUUAAGUCCCGCAACGAGCGCAACCCUUGUCCUUAGUUGCUACGCAAGAGCACUCUAAGGAGACUGCCGGUGACAAACCGGAGGAAGGUGGGGAUGACGUCAAGUCCUCAUGGCCCUUAUGGGUAGGGCUUCACACGUCAUACAAUGGUCGGAACAGAGGGUUGCCAACCCGCGAGGGGGAGCUAAUCCCAGAAAACCGAUCGUAGUCCGGAUUGCACUCUGCAACUCGAGUGCAUGAAGCUGGAAUCGCUAGUAAUCGCGGAUCAGCAUGCCGCGGUGAAUACGUUCCCGGGUCUUGUACACACCGCC